rnacentral:rRNA from 1 species
AGCUCCAAUAGCGUAUACUAACGUUGUUGCAGUUAAAAAGCUCGUAGUUGGAUUUCUGGUGGGAGGGAUCGGUCCUGCAUUCUUUGUAGGAACUUGUAUCCUCUCCGGCCAUCCUUGGGUGGAUCUUGUCUGGCAUUAAGUUGUCAGGCAGGGGAUGCCCAUCGUUUACUGUGAAAAAAUUAGAGUGUUCAAAGCAGGCUUAUGCCAUUGAAUAUAUUAGCAUGGAAUAAUAAGAUAGGGCCCUGGUACUAUUUUGUUGGUUUGCGUACCGAGGUAAUGAUUAAUAGGGACAGUUGGGGGUAUUUGUAUUCAGUAUUCAGUGGUGAAAUACUUAGACCUACGGAAGACAAACUACUGCGAAAGCAUUUACCAAGGAUGUUUUCA